AAUGCUGAAUUGUAUCUUCCGGACUACAACUGCUGACAUGAAUACAACUACUAACAGUGCAAUCACUGAUGGAGUCUGGUGAAUUGGGAUCAUAACAGUAUAGUCCACAGGUGAAUCAUUUCCUUAUGUCUGAGAUAUCAGGAUAUGAAGGAAGAUUACUUUCACAGACAAACAAGAGACAGCUGCCCUUGAUAAUGUCUGCAGUGAAGGGGGCAUGAUGAAUGGCUGUAAAAGGCUGCUGUUCAUACACAGCUCAGAAGAGUAACUCUCAGCUCCAAUAAGGACCUGGAGGUGGAAAGGUUUGGGCAAGGUCUUAUAAGAUUUUCACAGUUAAUCAACC